CGGAGCGUGGCCCAGUGGCAGGGCGCCUGGUUCGGGUCCAGGAAACUCGGGAGUUCGAUUCUCCCCGCUCCGACAA
rnacentral:tRNA from 1 species